rnacentral:ncRNA from 1 species
CAAAGGUCUGGUCCUAGCCUUAUUAUCAACUGAUCUUAAAUUUACACAUGCAAGUCUCCGCACACCAGUGAGAACGCCCUCCAUACCUCACCAGGAGCAGGAGCCGGUAUCAGGCACACAAACUGCCCAUAACACCUAGCUUAGCCACGCCCCCAAGGGUACUCAGCAGUGAUAAACAUUGUUUAUAAGCGAAAGCUUGACUCAGUUAAAGAUAUCAGGGCCGGCCAGUCCGGUGCCAGCCGCCGCGGAUACACCGUCCAAUAUGGCCCAAGUUGAUAGUCUUCGGCGUAAAGCGUGAUUAAAGUUUAUAUCCAUUAGAGUUAAAUAAAAACAAAGCCGUGAUACGCCUGAUAUUUAGAAAACCAAAAACGAAAGUUACUCUAACUUAAACCACUUGAAUACACGACAGCUAGGAAACAAACUGGGAUUAGGAACCUCACUAUGCCUAGCCGUAAAAUAUUUACCUACACCACCCAUCGCCAGGGAACUACAAGCUCAAACUUAAAACCCAAAGGACUUGACGGUGUCCCACUCCCCCUAGAGGAGCCUGUGCUAUAAUCGACAACACCCGCUAAACCCGACUGCUUUUCGACCAUCAGCUUGUAUACUUCCGUCGUAAGCUCACCGUGUUGAAAGACAUAAAGUGAGCCAAAAGGCCCUACCACCAACACGUCAGGUCAAGGUGCAGCCAACAAAGCAGAAAGUAAUGGGCUACAAUUUCUAUGAUAGAACCUACGAAAAGCCGUAUGAAAUAUGGCCACGAAGGAGGAUUUAGAAGUAAAAAGAAAAUAAAGUGUUCUUUUUAAUUAGGUACUGGGACGCGUACAGACCGCCCGUCACCCUCUUCGUCAACAUCACAUAGCUUAAUAACCAAAAUAAAUACUCCAGAAGAGGCAAGUCGUAACAAGGUAAGUAUACUGGAAAGUGUACUUGGAAUAA